rnacentral:rRNA from 1 species
GAUGAACGCUGGCGGCGUGCUUAACACAUGCAAGUCGAACGGGAAUUAUUUUAUUGAAACUUCGGUCGAUUUAAUUUAAUUCUAGUGGCGGACGGGUGAGUAACGCGUGGGUAACCUGCCUUAUACAGGGGGAUAACAGUCAGAAAUGGCUGCUAAUACCGCAUAAGCGCACAGAGCUGCAUGGCUCAGUGUGAAAAACUCCGGUGGUAUAAGAUGGACCCGCGUUGGAUCAGCUGGUUGGUGGGGUAACGGCCCACCAAGGCGACGAUCCAUAGCCGGCCUGAGAGGGUGAACGGCCACAUUGGGACUGAGACACGGCCCAGACUCCUACGGGAGGCAGCAGUGGGGAAUAUUGCACAAUGGGGGAAACCCUGAUGCAGCGACGCCGCGUGAAGGAAGAAGUAUCUCGGUAUGUAAACUUCUAUCAGCAGGGAAGAUAGUGACGGUACCUGACUAAGAAGCCCCGGCUAACUACGUG